UAGAAAUUAAUACCAAAAAAUACCUCAUAUCAUUUUGCCUCUUGUGAUGGAAUCUGAAGUCAUGGAAGUCAUUCGUUUGCUUUCAGAAUUGGUGAAUUGUACUGGCAACACAUUUGGAUUUUUUUUUUUUUCUCAUCCCCCAUUAUUUUAUGAUUACUAUGGACACAGGCUAUUCCAGGAGCUCGAAUGGUGAAGUUCAAUACAAGAGAAUUCAAAAUCUCUCUUUCUGAAUGUCCCAGACAGAAUAACCCCUUUGCACAAAUGAAAAGGGAGGAAAUGCAUAUGAUUUCCUAGCAGACAUGGGGUGAAAGGAGAAACAAAGCAGAAUCAGCAUGCAAGCAGAUCCUUGAUUUUUUCAAGUCAUGAAGUAACAUGUUUCUGUGAUAUUACGUAAUGAUAGUGUCAAACUGUAAGAUCUGAGGUAUGUUUAUGCCAACACAUGUACUCAUAAGUUACAUUCCUUUCUAAAAUAAAGUUGUUAUAGUUCACCUUG